CGGGAGCGCGCGCGCGCGCCGGCGGCCAGAUUUCCUUCGCGCUCUCGCCGGCCGGGGUUUCCUCUCUCCAGCCGGUAGCCGCCGGCCGAGUCCGUGAUUGUGCUCCCUCCCGGCGCAUGCGUCGUGGACCCGGGGCUCCGCGGCCGGUCGGGCUCUGCACUCGCCCCUCCCCUCGCGGCCGUCUUCCCCGGAGCGUCCGGGCGCGCAUGCGACUUUCCCCGUUAGGCAGCCCCGAGCCGCGCCGCGCCGCGCGGAGCUGCGCCACGGAAUCCCAGGCGCCCGAGGAAACUCCACUCCUGCGGGCCGGCGUGUGCUCGUUCUGCAGCCGCAGAGGGAAGCGGGGAUGCCCCGGGGUCCCCUCCCCCCCCCACGCAGGCCGGGAGGCGGGGCCUGGCGGAGGGUGCGGCCGCCCGCAGAGGUUUGGGAGGCUCUGGGCUCCCUGGGAUGCAGCGCUCUCUUCCUGUGGGAGCCACCGGCCCGACGAGGGCCUCGGUCUCUUGAAAAGCAAAGAGCUUAACUGACGCCAAGUUAAACUUCUCCAACCCGACUUGGAACAGGUCGGCUUCCUCUCCUGGAGAAUAAAAGAACUUCAAAACCGGAGAAUUUGGGUGCGUACUCUCCGAGAAGGCUGAAAAAAGAGAAUCUUCAAAUUCCCGGCUAAUCUGGGCUUCGUAGCCAGACUCUGUCCCGAGAACUUUUCCUUGGUGCCUGUUUUGUUACUUCGCCAUUGAAAGGCUCUUACUGCACAUUUUGUUCAGAAUCCAGCUGCUGCUCUGGGUCAUUUUAGUUGAAUUCACCCAUUCUCCAUUCAUUCCCUGUGGUCCAGGCAGGACACUUCGCAGUUACUACCAAGAAGGACUGCUUUCCAAUGGACUUGAAUCUGGAAGAAUAAAGCCUUUCCAUGUGUGACUAAUGAAAAAGAAGGCACCUCGAAGGGGGAAAAAAAAAAAAAAAAAGCAGAUUCAAAGGGGGAAGUGUAGCCUAGAGGCUUGAUGUCCGACUUUAGGGGCUAGAUUGAUUCCUCAGGAAGUUUCAGUUAAAGUAAUAAAUACACUCCUGAAUGUAUUUUCUUUAUUGCUUAAACCAAUGAGAGCUUUUUUGUCACAGACUACUUAGCGUCUUGAUCACUGGUAGUAAAAAAAAAAAAAAAAAAAGAAGUAGGUUAAUCAUGCUGAUGAAGUUCCUAGGUUGCAGCCAGACAAGGGAGCCUGAAUACUUUUCCUAGGUUGAAUGUUUCAGUUUUAGUCUAGAGGAAGUCCUUUUUUACAUUCAAUCUUCUCUAGUACAUACAUCUUCAAAAUGACCUUUGCCCCCUUUAAUGAUUUCAUUGUCCUUUUAG
rnacentral:lncRNA from 1 species